rnacentral:lncRNA from 1 species
UGGGGCCUAUGGGGCGCUAUGGGUCUCUAUGGGGCUCCAUGGGGCACUAUGGGGUACUGUCGGACUCUAUGGGGCACUAUGAGGCUCUAUGGGGCACUAUGGGGCUCUAUGGGGCACUGGUGGGCUCUAUGGGGCUCUAUGGGGUAUCUAUGGGGUUCUAUGGGGCUCUAUGGGUCUCUAUGGGGCUCUAUAGGUCUCUAUGGGUCUCUAUGGGGCUCUAUGGGUCUCUAUGGGGCUCUAUAGGUCUCUAUGGGUCUCUAUGGGGCUCUAUGGGUCUCUGUGGGGAUCUGUGGGGCUCUAUGGGGUCUCUAUGGGGCACUGUGGGGCUCUAUGGGGCUCUAUGGGGCACUGUGGGGCUCUAUGGGGUAUCUAUGGGUCUCUAUGGGGCUCUAUGGGUCGCUAUGGGUCUCUAUGGGUCUCUAUGGGGCUCUAUGGGUCGCUAUGGGUCGCUAUGGGGAAAUUGCUAAUUAAUGACGCUUGGUGGGUAAUAAUCAAUGGUAGCAGAUGAGUAAUUAACGACAGCGGAUGGGUAAUUGGUGACGCUGGCUGGCUCAUUAUGGUGCUAAACGGGGAAUUAAUGAGGGCAGAUGGCUAAUUAAUGAGGGCAGAUGGCUAAUUAAUGACGGCAGAUGGCUAAUUAAUGACGGUGGGCAGGUAAUUAAUGACGGUAACAGAGUAAUUAAUGACGGUAACAGAGUAAUUAAUGACGUUGAAUGGCUAAUUUAGGACCUUGAAUGUGUAAUUACUGUCGCUAAAUGGUAAUUAAUUGGUAAUUGAAUGGUAAUUAAUGUCUGCGGAUGGGUAAUUAGUGAGAGCGGAUGGGUCACUAAUGACAGUUGAUGGCUCGUUAACGAAGCUGGAUGGGUAAUUAGUGACUUUAAUUGGGUCAUUGAUGACUCUGAAGGGUCAUUAAUGACCCUAAUUGGCUAAUUGAUGACGUGAGGUGGGGAAUUAAUGAGGUUGGGUGGGUAAUUAAUGGCAAUAAGCGGCUAAUUAAUGGCUCGAAAUGGCUACUUAACGACCCGCAACAAGUAAUUAAUGAGUAAUAAAUGACACGAAACGGGUAAUUAAUGACUCCGG